rnacentral:lncRNA from 1 species
AGUAUGAGGCUGCACUUUGAUUUUACUUAUUUUUCUUCCACUUGUGAGGUCUGCAGUGUGUUAUUCUUCUGAGAGUUUAAAUACUUAUAAAAAGGAAAACCUUCUCAGAAUGUGGAUUGCCUAUUUGAAUCUAACAAUUGUAGCAGGUUCGUUCAAUUUGGUGCAGAUCAAGAUUGCCACUGUGGUGCUGCAGGAUGUAGGCAAAAGCUGGGCAUUAAACCUAACAAGCCAAAACUUCCUGCUUCAGAUGCUGCAUUAAAGAUAGUGGCACGUCAGGUGGCUGCUUGAUUUUACUUAUUUUUCUUCCACCUGUGAGGUCUGCAGUGUGUUAUUCUUCUGAGAGUUUAAAUACUUAUAAAAAGGAAAACCUUCUCAGAAUGUGGAUUGCCUAUUUGAAUCUAACAAUUGUAGCAGGUUCGUUCAAUUUGGUGCAGAUCAAGAUUGCCACUGUGGUGCUGCAGGAUGUAGGCAAAAGCUGGGCAUUAAACCUAACAAGCCAAAACUUCCUGCUUCAGAUGCUGCAUUAAAGAUAGUGGCACGUCAGGUGGCUGCUACCUCUCCGAAACUGAAAGCGCUUCUAUGCAUGA